ensembl:lncRNA
AUGUCAUCAGCACGUGGUUCCGAUGGCCUCCCGGCCCUUCGGAUGGGCAAGGCGAGGACGAGGAGAGCAGGCAGGAGCAAGCACACGCACGUGCACACGGCUCUGGAAGGAGCAGGGAUGUCUCCAGAGCAUACGGAAAGCGGGGACACGCAGAGCUGCCCCGGCAGCCGGGAUGCGGCAAAGAGCUUCUCAGGGCUCCGGUGUGCAGGGGAGGGGACGGAAGUAACCAGCAAGUCCCUUGCCUGGGGAGAACCACCAGUGAGAAGAAGCAACCGUCAAGUGACAGGAGUAAACAGGACACACGUUUGGGUUUGCAAACCGGACAGGUUGUGGCUGCAGAUGACAAAAGAAAAGAAGAGGAAGAAGGAGGAGGAGGAGGAGAAGGAGGAGGAGGGGGAGGGGGGAGGAGGAGGAAGAAGAGGAGGAGGGAGGAGGAGGGGGAGGAGGAGGGAGGAGGAGGAGGAGAAGGAGGAGGAGGAGGAGGGGGAGGAGGUGGAAGGGGAGGAGGAGGAGGGGGGAGGAGGGGGAGGAAGUGGAGGAAGGGAAGGAGGAAAGGAGGAGGAGGAGGGAGGAGGAGGAUGGGGAGGAAGAGGGGGAGGAGGCGGGGGAGGAGGAGGCGGGGGAGGAGGAGGAGGAGAGGAGGAGGAGGAGAAGGAGGAGGAGGGGGAGGGGGAGGGGGAGGAAAGAAGAGGAGGAGGGGGAGGAGGAGGGGGAGGAGGAGGGGGAGGAGGAGGAAGAAGAGGAGGAGGGAGGAGGAGGAAAGAAGAGGAGGAGGGAGGAGGAGGAGGGGGAGGAGGGAGGAGGAGGGGGAGGAGGAGGAAGAAGAGGAGGAGGAGAAGGAGGAGGAGGAGGGGGAGGAGGGGGAGGAGAAGGAGGAGGAGGAGGAUGGGGAGGAAGAGGGGAGGAGGAGGAAGAAGAGGAGGAGGGGGAGGGAGGAGGAGGAAAGAAGAGGAGGAGGGGGAGGAGGAGGAGGGGGAGGAGAAGGAGGAGGAGGGGGGGAGGAGGAAAGAAGAGGAGGAGGGAGGAGGAGGGAGGAGGAGGGGGAGGAGAAGGAAGGGGAGGGGGAGGAGGGGGAGGGGGAGGAAGUGGAGGAAGGGAAGGAGGAAAGGAGGAGGAGGAGGAUGGGGAGGAAGAGGGGAGGAGGUGGAAGGGGAGGAGGAGGAGGAGGGGGAGGAGGAGGAGGGGGAGGGGGAGGAGGAGGAGGGGGAGGAGAAGGAAGGGGAGGGGGAGGAGGAAAGAAGAGGAGGAGGGAGGAGGAGGGGGAGGAGAGGGGGAGGAGGAGGAAGAAGAGGAGGAGGAGGAGGGGGAGGAGGGAGGAGGAGGAAAGAAGAGGAGGAGGAGGGGGAGGAGGAGGAAAGAAGAGGAGGAGGGAGGAGGAGGGGGAGGAGGAGGAGGGGCGAGGGGGAGGGGGAGGAAAGAAGAGGAGGAGGGGGAGGAGGAGGGGGGAGGAGGAGGAGGAGGGGGAGGGGGAGGAGGAGGAAAGAAGAGGAGGAGGAGGAGGGGGAGGAGAAGGAGGAGGAGGGGGAGGGGGAGGGGGAAGAGAAGGAAAGAAGAGGAGGGGGAGGAGAGGAAAGAAGAGGAGGAGGGGGAGGAGGAGGGGGAGGAGAAGGAGGGGGAGGAGGAGGAAAGAAGAGGAGGAGGAGGGGGAGGAGGUGGAAGGGGAGGGGGAGGAGGGGGAAGGGGAGGAGGAGGAGGAGGAGGAGGAGGGGGGAGGAGGAGGAGGAGGAUGGGGAGGAAGAGGGGGAGGAGGUGGAAGGGGAGGAGGAGGAAGAAAGAAGAGGAGGAGGGGGAGGGGGAGGAGGAGGAAAGAAGAGGAGGAGGGGGAGGAGGAGGGGGAGGAGAAGGAAGGGGAGGGGGAGGAGGAGGAGGAGGGGGAGGGGAAGGAGAAAAGGAGCCAUGAAGGCCAACAGUGAUCUUAUUCGGUCUGGACACUUACUAAGUGUUCUUCAACCGUCACUCCCUCCUGGGGCUCCAGCCGCAGGGAGUGGAGGGGCAGACUCAGCAGGGAGACCUGGGAAGCCAAGAGCUGGUGGGUGGGGAGCUGGGGCUCUAAGCGGGGCGGCGUUCUUGCCUCCUUUUCCGCGGGGCUCAGGCGACAGGCUCUCGGGCACACACGGCUUGGGUUUCUUCCCCUCCGGGCAUGAGUGCUUUGAGCGCCAGUGA